rnacentral:rRNA from 1 species
UACGUAGGGUGCAAGCGUUGUCCGGAAUUAUUGGGCGUAAAGAGCUCGUAGGCGGUUUGUCGCGUCGGCUGUGAAAACCCGAGGCUCAACCUCGGGCCUGCAGUCGAUACGGGCAAACUAGAGUGUGGUAGGGGAGACUGGAAUUCCUGGUGUAGCGGUGAAAUGCGCAGAUAUCAGGAAGAACACCAACGGCGAAGGCAGCUCGCUGGGACGGUACUGACGCUGAGACGCGAAAGCGUGGGGAGCGAACAGG